rnacentral:rRNA from 1 species
UACGUAGGGAGCGAAGCGUUGUCCGGAAUCAUUGGGCGUAAAGCGCGCGUAGGCGGCCCGAUAAGUCCGCUGUGAAAGUCAACGGCUCAACUGUUGGAUGCCGGUGGAUACUGUCGGGCUAGAGUACGGAAGAGGCAAGUGGAAUUCCUGGUGUAGCGGUGGAAUGCGCAGAUAUCAGGAGGAACACCUAUAGCGAAGGCAGCUUGCUGGGACGUUACUGACGCGUAAGGCGCGA